rnacentral:lncRNA from 1 species
CUUCAGUCAGAACAAUGGCAUUUCCGAUCUAUUUACUAUAUAUCUGUGGGUUUAUGCAAGUUUACAAUAAGCAUGGCUUAUUAUCACUUACCUUUCUAUUAACUUGGCUUUUGUCCCAGUUUUUUUUUUUUUUUGCUCCAAUAUCUUUUAAUUGUUUCUUAAGCUCAGAAACAGUCAACUUGCUAAAGUCCAUAGUGAAGCAGCUUAACUAUGCAGAAAAAAAAAAGACAAACUCAAACUGAGAGUGAAAUGCGAUGUAACAGCUGGAUGCUAAGCCUAAGCAAUAUUAAACAUGUAGGUGGCACCAUAAGUGGAGAAAUUUUGCAUGUACAAUGGUCUAUUAUGCAUCACUCAUUUAAAAAUAUGGGUAAUAAUGCUUAAUUAAAAUUGUUAUAUAAGGUUUGAUUUUUACAUUAUGCUAUUAGAAUAAUCAAAGUAAAUUUGUUUGAUUAAUUCUAUUUUUUAUUUUUAUUUUAUAUAACCCUGCAUCAAUCAUUUUUCCAUCUCCAUAGUUUUUUCUGGAGUCCCAACAAAAAUGCUGAAUCAAGAUUACACUAUCAGGUCAAUUAACUUCACUUGUAAAUGCGUGUUUUAGUCAGUAUAAAAAUAUAACUUAUCAAGGUUACACUGUAU